rnacentral:rRNA from 1 species
GAUGAACGCUGGCGGCGUGCCUAAUACAUGCAAGUCGAGCGAACAGACGAGGAGCUUGCUCCUCUGACGUUAGCGGCGGACGGGUGAGUAACACGUGGAUAACCUACCUAUAAGACUGGGAUAACUUCGGGAAACCGGAGCUAAUACCGGAUAAUAUAUUGAACCGCAUGGUUCAAUAGUGAAAGACGGUUUUGCUGUCACUUAUAGAUGGAUCCGCGCCGCAUUAGCUAGUUGGUAAGGUAACGGCUUACCAAGGCAACGAUGCGUAGCCGACCUGAGAGGGUGAUCGGCCACACUGGAACUAAGACACGGUCCAGACUCCUACGGGAGGCAGCAGUAGGGAAUCUUCCGCAAAGGGCGAAAGCCUGACGGAGCAACGCCGCGUGAGUGAUGAAGGUCUUCGGAUCGUAAAACUCUGUUAUUAGGGAAGAACAAAUGUGUAAGUAACUAUGCACGUCUUGACGGUACCUAAUCAGAGAGCCACGGCUAACUACGUG